rnacentral:hammerhead_ribozyme from 1 species
CAAUGCUGAUGAGUCCUAAACAGGACGAAACAGCUGUUCAGUGC